CGCGGCGGCGCCUCUCAAUGGGCGGCUGAUGCUUCCGUCAAGGGAGGGUCGUGCGUGGAUUGGACGCCGCCGCCAGUGCCGCACGCCCAUUGGUGGAGAGGGGGGGAGUGGGCGUGUCCUCUACAACGGGCUCCUUGGUCAGGGAUCGAACCCGCAGCCGGGCCCUGGACUCCAGAGCAAAGCAUGUGCGCAUGCGCUCUACCACGGAGCUGCCGCCCUUGGCUACAAGACCCUGGGUAGAUGUCUCAGAUGCCACCAUGAUGCCAACCUGACUUCCCAGGACAGACGACCCCACCCAUGUGUCCUGGAGCCCCGCUUCCCCGGAGCCCUGCCCCACUAGGGAGAGAGAGAGGCAGGCUGGGAGUGUGGAUCCACCUGCCAACGCCCAGGUUCAGCGGGGAAGCCAUUCCAGAAGCCAGACCUCCCACCUUCUGCACAAGGUCACCCCAUAAUGACCUUGGGUCCAUACUCCCAGAGGGAUAAAGGACAGGAAAGCCAUCAGGCAGGGGAGGGGGAUGGGAUGCGGAGUUCUGGCGGUGGGGACUGUGUGGAGUUGUACCCCUCUUAUCCUCUGGUUUUUGUCAGUGUUAACAUUUUAUAAAAAAGAAAGAAUAGAA